GAUGAACGCUGGCGGCGUGCCUAAUACAUGCAAGUCGAGCGAACAGACGAGGAGCUUGCUCCUCUGACGUUAGCGGCGGACGGGUGAGUAACACGUGGAUAACCUACCUAUAAGACUGGGAUAACUUCGGGAAACCGGAGCUAAUACCGGAUAAUAUAUUGAACCGCAUGGUUCAAUAGUGAAAGACGGUUUUGCUGUCACUUAUAGAUGGAUCCGCGCCGCAUUAGCUAGUUGGUAAGGUAACGGCUUACCAAGGCAACGAUGCGUAGCCGACCUGAGAGGGUGAUCGGCCACACUGGAACUGAGACACGGUCCAGACUCCUACGGGAGGCAGCAGUAGGGAAUCUUCCGCAAUGGGCGAAAGCCUGACGGAGCAACGCCGCGUGAGUGAUGAAGGUCUUCGGAUCGUAAAACUCUGUUAUUAGGGAAGAACAAAUGUGUAAGUAACUAUGCACGUCUUGACGGUACCUAAUCAGAAAGCCACAGCUAACUACGU
rnacentral:rRNA from 1 species